UUUUGAGUGAAUCAUGCAACAUUGGUGCAGAUUAUUUUUACAACCAGUUGCUACGCUUACGAUUUACUUUGCUAAGAAUUAUUCACGCAAUUGAGAAAGUAGACAAAAAAAGAACGACAACGAUUACGAUUACGAUGACGUUGACGAUGGCAGAGAAUAGGUCAUCAUUUAAAUGACAAUUCACAUGGAUCAGAGUCGAAGUCUCUGCCACUCGUCUCUCUGCCCAAUUCAAAGAGCUGAAGUCUCGAUGAAUGUGUGAGUGUGCAAAAGGCAAAAGUUACUUGGGCCAGAUUAAAGCGAAGCGCAAAGCAACUAGCAUUGAGCACACAUGUUGCAUAUGCCUUCCAUGCCCUGCGGCCCCGCUCGCAACUCUGCCACUUGCCUUGUUGACGCUUUGGCAAACUUUGCCGCACAACUACAACUAAAAAAAAAUGGGAAAAAAAGAAUGAAACGAGUAUCCAUAAAAAAGAAGCGUAGAGCAAACGAAAGAUUUAAGGAGCUGAUGCGCAACAAAAUAAAGUACUCCUUAAAUAUUUACGUUCCAUGGAUUCAAUAUGUGCGGUGGCCUUCCUGCCCCAUCCCCGUGCCUUGAGGGCAACCUCACCAGCCGGUCAACCAAUCAAAUCAAAGGCCACUUGCCAGCCAGGCUUAGCCUUCUGCCUGCGUCUCCACUCUCCACUCACAUCCUUGGCGAGUUCAAUGCACGCACAGUCCACAGAUUAGACUCGAGAGUGGGCAAAACACUGAACUGGACCACAUCUCCUCCACUUUUAUGCAAACAGAAAAUAAAAAAAAAAACACAGAAAAAGAAAAAAUACAGAAGCAAAGGAAAAACAAUAAGAGUGCGGGCUGAGAGCAGCAGAUAACCUCAGCAACAAUCGAGUGGCUUCAGCACAGGCCGCGAUUCUGCACUACGAGCACACAUUCAAGCGCUCAAACACUCAUAGAUUUAAUAAAGUUGAGCGACUUGUGAUCUCCAGUCAACAUCUAUUGACAUCUUACAACAUAAUGCGACUUAAACAGUAGCUGAAAUCGCAAUCAACUUUCGCCAAAUGUUGAACGCCAAACAGAAAAACUAUUCAACAGGUGUGAAUACUCUGGCUUUGCAUUUCUAAUGGCGAUCAAAGGGAAUUUUGUGGUAGCUAUAAAAAUAGUAUAAUGGAUACGCAAUAUAGGAAUAAUGUAGAACCUGAUGUAGCAGCGCACAUUAACCCACGUUGGGCGCCAACAUGUUGAUUCAAUUGUCAUGUCAAUAAGCGACAGGUAUUUUAAUGCAAUAUAUAUCUAAUGACAAUUAAAAAAGAAAAAUGGGAAUUCGAAACCAAUGAAGACAAUCUUAAACAUGAAAUACGCAAGUUAAGCUGCGCACGUGUGGAUGCGAAACCAAAAAAGACAAUGCUAAACUUAAAGCCACCCACUUUGGAAGCCAAAAUGAUAAUUUAAGAAGCCAGAAGAUAUAUUAAUGCGAAACAACUAUUCAACAGAUAUGCAAUCUACUGCAAUAUAUUCUAAUGGCAAUCAAAAUAGAAUCGAAUCGAACGAAGACAGCGUGAAGCAGUGCAAGUUGAGCUACCCACGUUGGGCGCCAUGAAUGUGAAACAAUGUGUGUGCCACGCCUCGACAACAUUCAUUUAAUUGCCACUAAUGAUACGCGACAUAAACCAGCAAAUCGAUUAAUGCGAUGAAUUGACAGCUAUCGAUAACCAAACAGUCAGACAGACAGACAGACGGACAGACAGACAUCUGAACACCACACAGCAGGCAGCAGACACUGCGAAGUCCACAGUGCUGUCCAGUUCACACACAGUGA